rnacentral:rRNA from 1 species
CAGUAGCCACGGGAAUACGAAGGGGGCUAGCGUUGUUCGGAUUUACUGGGCGUAAAGCGCACGUAGGCGGACUUUUAAGUCAGGGGUGAAAUCCCGGGGCUCAACCCCGGAACUGCCUUUGAUACUGGGAGUCUUGAGUUCGAGAGAGGUGAGUGGAAUUGCGAGUGUAGAGGUGAAAUUCGUAGAUAUUCGCAGGAACACCAGUGGCGAAGGCGGCUAACUGGUCCAUAACUGACGCUGAGGUGCGAAAGCGUGGGGAGCAAACAGGAUUAGAUACCCGCGUAGUCCCUGUCUCUUAUAC